rnacentral:rRNA from 1 species
ACUACGGGAGGCAGCAGUAGGGAAUUUUGCGCAAUGGGGGAAACCCUGACGCAGCAACGCCGCGUGAUCGAUGAAGCCCUUCGGGGUGUAAAGAUCUGUCAGUGGGGACGAAACCUGAUGGUACCCACAGCGGAAUCACCGGCUAACUCCGUGCCAGCAGCAGCGGUAAUAGGGGGGGUGCAAGCGUUGUCCGGAAUCAUUGUGCGGAAAGAGUUCGUAGGUGGCACGUUAAGGCUGGUGUGAAAGGCGGAAGCUCAACUUCCGUAGGGCACUGGAUAAUGGCGAGUGUGAAUGCGGUAGAGGGAAAGGGAAUUCCUGGUGUAGCGGUGAAAUGCGUAGAUAUCAGGAGGAACAUCGAUGGCGUAAGCGCUUUACUGGGCCGGAAUUGACACUGAGGAACGAAAGCCGGGGUAGCAAAUGGGAUUAGAUACCCGAGUAGUC